UGAAAAUUCUAGAAUUCUGUAUCAUGAAGAUUGUGCUUGGAGUAAAAGUCUAACCAUGAAGGUGGGGGACUGAGGGUAACAUGAGGACCUGCAAAUCUGUGUUAGAGGCCCACCUUCUAUCCUGGGAAUCUCAGCAGCCAGACCAUUUUUAUCUGAAGACAGAGAAAUAAAAUAGAGAUCAUGUGGAUUUAAAAAGUCCUUAAACCAAAGAAGAGAAAGAUUUACAAUGGAUAAAUUAAAAACAGCGACACUUAAUUAAUUUUCUACAGAAUUCACCACAGGUAUUUUGAUAACACUAAGAAAUAAAUGUGAUCUUUAAAAAACAGUUUUUAAU
rnacentral:lncRNA from 1 species